CGCGAAGAACCUUACCAAGGCUUGACAUAUAGGGAAAAGUGGCAGAGAUGUCAUGUCCGCAAGGGCUCUAUACAGGUGGUGCAUGGUUGUCGUCAGCUCGUGUCGUGAGAUGUUGGGUUAAGUCCCGCAACGAGCGCAACCCUCGUUCUGUGUUGCCAGCAUUUAGUUGGGGACUCACAGGAGACUGCCGGGGUUAACUCGGAGGAAGGUGGGGAUGACGUCAAAUCAUCAUGCCCCUUAUGUCUUGGGCUGCACGCAUGCUACAAUGGCCGGUACAGAGGGCUGCAAUACCGUAAGGUGGAGCGAAUCCCAAAAAGCCGGUCUCAGUUCGGAUUGAGGUCUGCAACUCGACCUCAUGAAGUUGGAGUUGCUAGUAAUCGUAGAUCAGCAUCGCUACGGUGAAUACGUUCCCGGGGCUUGUACACACCGCCCGUCACGUCACGAAAGUC
rnacentral:rRNA from 1 species